CCCACUUUGUAAACCCUGACUACGCCACUUGAAUGACAUUUUUACAGCUUGUCUUUGGUGUUGUGUAAAGCCUGCAGCUGCAUGGUUUCUGUUAAAUUUUAAAUAUCGCAAUUGUGAAUGUCGCAAGAGUUGUAGAAAUAGGCUGGUUUCGAUAUCUGCGAUUGCGAUUUGGUCCGAUUCUUGCGAUUGCACGACUCUUGCGCUUUAAUGGAACCAGGCUUAAGGUUAUUGCCAUAGACAUGGAUGGAAAUUGUGGUGCUUCUAUAGUUAUAGAAACAUGUACUGCUCUCGACCAAUCAGCGCUUGCAUUUUUAAAGGUAGGUUACAGUCCCUUCUGCGCAUGUC